rnacentral:tRNA from 1 species
UGGAGAGGUGGCUGAGCGGUUUAAGGCGCACGAUUGGAAUUCGUGUGGGGGAGCAAUCCCCUCGGGGGUUCGAAUCCCCCCCUCUCCGU